CCCGGGGGUGGGUAGCCUUCACACAGCCUGGAAAUCUUCGGGAGCAGAGGCACGUUGGGAUAAACUCUAACUUGACCUUUGCAACGUGAGAGGGGCGGGGUUACUUGAAGGGCUUCCUUAGAAGGCGAUUGGCCCUGGGGAAAUCACAGGACGGGACGAGUCCAUCAUUGGUCCUGCCUGCAAGCUGAGGGCGGGCUGCGAGCGCGGCAGAGCCCAUAGAGAGCAGCCCGCGCGCGGGCAGGAGAACCCGCAGUUACGAGCCAGUAGGCGGCUGAGGCGAGUUCGCGUCAGGGGGUCGAGGGCCUCAAGGGGCGUAGGCACGGCGUCACGCGCCUGCGUGGUUCGCUUAGAUACGGCGAGGACGUUUCUGCGCGCGGUGAUUUCGACGCGAGCCAUUCAACAGCUGGCCUCGCGAGCGACGGUCGCACGGGGCGACCGGGACUGUUGACGGCUGCGACUGAGGCGGUUGGAGGGAGGCGAAGACGGCGGCGUCGAGGUCGGCGGCAGCUGCAGCGGCGGCGGCAGUCCGGUUAUCUCAGCGGAUCCUGGAGUAGAGACGUGACGGUUCCUGAGGAAACGGUUCCCGACUGUUGUUUGAGGGUGAAUCUUCACUGUAGCCUCCAAAGUGUCCUAAAGGUGCUUGUGUUCCCUGGUUAGGAUGCCAUAACUUCAUUUUGGUCCACUGUGAAGAAGUGAAUUGUGGCUUCUCCAAUCUUUCUUCCCUUGAUCACAUUUUCAGCACGAGGUAUUGGGUAAUAUCCUAUUCUGUGGGACUUGUAUUCAAAUAAGUUUACCUUGGGAUUUAAAAAGGUUGGGAAAUACUGUUGCUCUCAAAAACGGUUUAGUAGUGCAGAGCAGGGGGCCCGCAUUAAGGUUGCUUUUGACCUGUAGGUGGCGACUGAUGGGCAGGAAUUUUGCUGGUAAUUUUCAGAUUGUGGAAAUACAACUGAGAAGCAAAACACUGGCAACUUCAUGAUAUGCAUUUCCCACAAAUAAUACUCUGAUUAUUCAGUGAUUGAGGCAAAAGUAUGAACAUACUCAGCCACAUUCCUUUAAU
rnacentral:lncRNA from 13 species